rfam:Hydrogenibacillus schlegelii strain DSM 2000 scaffold54, whole genome shotgun sequence.
GUUUCAAUCCCUCAUAAGGUAGGCUCAAAAC